UCGCGAAAUAUAGUAGCGAAGUUCCUGAUUCCACACUGCCAAGAAAAGCCUCUAGCGAGGUGAGAGGUGCCCGUACCGCAAACCGACACAGGUAGGCGAGGAGAGAAUCCUAAGGUGAUCGAGAGAACUCUCGUUAAGGAACUCGGCAAAAUGACCCCGUAACUUCGGGAGAAGGGGUGCUCUGUUAGGGUGCAAGCCCGAGAGAGCCGCAGUGAAUAGGCCCAGGCGACUGUUUAGCAAAAACACAGGUCUCUGCGAAGCCGUAAGGCGAAGUAUAGGGGCUGACGCCUGCCCGGUGCUGGAAGGUUAAGAGGAGCGCUUAGCGUAAGCGAAGGUGCGAAUUGAAGCCCCAGUAAACGGCGGCCGUAACGAUAACGGUCCUAAGGUAGCGAAAUUCCUUGUCGGGUAAGUUCCGACCCGCACGAAAGGCGCAACGAUCUGGGCACUGUCUCAACGAGAGACUCGGUGAAAUUAUAGUACCUGUGAAGAUGCAGGUUACCCGCGACAGGACGGAAAGACCCCGUGGAGCUUUACUGCAGCCUGAUAUUGAAUGUUGGUACAGCUUGUACAGGAUAGGUAGGAGCCUUGGAAACCGGAGCGCCAGCUUCGGUGGAGGCAUCGGUGGGAUACUACCCUGGCUGUAUUGACCUUCUAACCCGCCGCCCUUAUCGGGCGGGGAGACAGUGUCAGGUGGGCAGUUUGACUGGGGCGGUCGCCUCCUAAAAGGUAACGGAGGCGCCCAAAGGUUCCCUCAGAAUGGUUGGAAAUCAUUCGCAGAGUGUAAAGGCACAAGGGAGCUUGACUGCGAGACCUACAAGUCGAGCAGGGACGAAAGUCGGGCUUAGUGAUCCGGUGGUUCCGCAUGGAAGGGCCAUCGCUCAACGGAUAAAAGCUACCCCGGGGAUAACAGGCUUAUCUCCCCCAAGAGUCCACAUCGACGGGGAGGUUUGGCACCUCGAUGUCGGCUCAUCGCAUCCUGGGGCUGUAGUCGGUCCCAAGGGUUGGGCUGUUCGCCCAUUAGAGCGGUACUCGAGCUGGGUUCAGAACGUCGUGAGACAGUUCGGUCCCUAUCCGUCGCGGGCGCAGGAAAUUUGAGAGGAGCUGUCCUUAGUACGAGAGGACCGGGAUGGACGCACCGCUGGUGUACCAGUUGUUCUGCCAAGGGCAUCGCUGGGUAGCUAUGUGCGGACGGGAUAAGUGCUGAAAGCAUCUAAGCAUGAAGCCCCCCUCAAGAUGAGAUUUCCCAUUCCGCAAGGAAGUAAGAUCCCUGAAAGAUGAUCAGGUUGAUAGGUCUGAGGUGGAAGUGUGGCGACACAUGGAGCUGACAGAUACUAAUCGAUCGAGGACUUAACC
rnacentral:rRNA from 1 species